GCUUAACACAUGCAAGUCGAGGGGCAGCGGGGAGGAAGCUUGCUUUCUCCGCCGGCGACCGGCGCACGGGUGAGUAACACGUAUGCAACCUGCCCCUGUCAGGGGGACAACCCGCCGAAAGGCGGGCUAAACCCGCGUACAUGCCACCGGGGCAUCCCGGAGGCAGGAAAGGCUUCGGCCGGACAGGGAUGGGCAUGCGGCGCAUUAGGCAGUAGGCGGGGUAACGGCCCACCUAACCGACGAUGCGUAGGGGUUCUGAGAGGAAGGUCCCCCACACUGGUACUGAGACACGGACCAGACUCCUACGGGAGGCAGCAGUGAGGAAUAUUGGUCAAUGGUCGGGAGACUGAACCAGCCAAGCCGCGUGAGGGAGGAAGGUACAGAGUAUCGUAAACCUCUUUUGUCAGGGAACAAAGACUGGGACGCGUCCCCGGAUGAGUGUACCUGAAGAAAAAGCAUCGGCUAACUCCGUGCCAGCAGCCGCGGUAAUACGGAGGAUGCGAGCGUUAUCCGGAUUUAUUGGGUUUAAAGGGUGCGCAGGCGGUCUGUUAAGUCAGCGGUCAAAGCCCGGGGCUCAACCCCGGCCCGCCGUUGAAACUGGCAGUCUCGAGUUGGAGAGAAGUAUGCGGAAUGCGCGGUGUAGCGGUGAAAUGCAUAGAUAUCGCGCAGAACUCCGAUUGCGAAGGCAGCAUGCCGGCUCCACACUGACGCUGAGGCACGAAAGCGUGGGUAUCGAACAGGAUUAGAUACCCUGGUAGUCCACGCAGUAAACGAUGAAUGCUGGCUGUCCGGGGGGGACUGACCCCUGGGUGGCGAAGCGAAAGCGAUAAGCAUUCCACCUGGGGAGUACGCCGGCAACGGUGAAACUCAAAGGAAUUGACGGGGGCCCGCACAAGCGGAGGAACAUGUGGUUUAAUUCGAUGAUACGCGAGGAACCUUACCCGGGCUCAAACGGGGAGUGACUCAGGCAGAGACGCCUGUUUCCCACGGGACACUCCCCGAGGUGCUGCAUGGUUGUCGUCAGCUCGUGCCGUGAGGUGUCGGCUUAAGUGCCAUAACGAGCGCAACCCCCGCGUGCAGUUGCUAACAGAUAACGCUGAGGACUCUGCACGGACUGCCGGCGCAAGCCGCGAGGAAGGCGGGGAUGACGUCAAAUCAGCACGGCCCUUACGUCCGGGGCGACACACGUGUUACAAUGGGUGGUACAGCGGGAAGCCAGGCGGCGACGCCGAGCGGAACCCGAAAUCCACUCUCAGUUCGGAUCGGAGUCUGCAACCCGACUCCGUGAAGCUGGAUUCGCUAGUAAUCGCGCAUCAGCCAUGGCGCGGUGAAUACGUUCCCGGGCCUUGUACACACCGCCCGUCAAGCCAUGGGAGCCGAGGGCGCUUGAACCC
rnacentral:rRNA from 1 species